rnacentral:rRNA from 1 species
AGUUUGAUCCUGGCUCAGGAUGAACGCUGGCGGCGUGCUUAACACAUGCAAGUCGAACGUGAAGCCCAGCUUGCUGGGUUAGUGGCGAACGGGUGAGUAACACGUGAGUAACCUGCCCUUAACUCUGGGAUAAGCCUGGGAAACUGGGUCUAAUACCGGAUAGGAGCGUCCACCGCAUGGUGGUGGAAAGAUUUAUCGGUUUUGGAUGGACUCGCGAGCUUGUUGGUGAGGUGAUGGCUCACCAAGGCGACGACGGGUAGCCGGCCUGAGAGGGUGACCGGCCACACUGGGACUGAGACACGGCCCAGACUCCUACGGGAGGCAGCAGUGGGGAAUAUUGCACACGCAAGCCUGAUGCAGCGACGCCGCGUGAGGGAUGACGGCCUUCGGGUUGUAACCUCUUUCAGUAGGGAAGAAGCGAAAGUGACGGUACCUGCAGAAGAAGGCUAACUACGUGCCAGCAGUAAUACGUAGGCGAGCGUUAUCCGGAUUAGGGCGUAAAGAGCUCGUAGGCGGUUGUCGCGUCUGUCGUGAAAGUCCGGGGCUUAACGGAUCUGCGGUGGUACGGGCAGACUAGAGUGCAGUAGGGGAGACUGGAAUUCCUGGUGUAGCGGUGGAAUGCGCAGAUAUCAGGAGGAACACCGAUGGCGAAGGCAGGUCUCUGGGCUGUAACUGACGCUGAGGAGAAAGCAUGGGGAGCGAACAGGAUUAGAUACCUUGGUAGUCCAUGCCGUAAACGUUGGGCACUAGGUGGGACCAUUCCACGGUUUCCGCGCCGCAGCUAACGCAUUAAGUGCCCCGCCUGGGGAG